rnacentral:rRNA from 1 species
CAUUAAGUGCAGGAAAAGAAACCAAAUGGGAUUCCCCCAGUAACGGCGAGUGAAGUGGGAUGAGCUCAGCACCGAAGCCGGCGGUCGAGAGGCCGUCGUGCAAUGUGGUGUUCGGGAGGGCUCUGUCCGUGUCCGGCGUCGGUCCAAGUCUCCUGGAAAGGAGUUCCGUGGAGGGUGACAGGCCCGUGCGACCGAUCGCCGCGCUCGCGGACGAGUCCUCCUUCGAGUCGGGUUGCUCGCUAAUGCAGCCCUAAGCAGGUGGUAAGCUCCAUCUAAAGCUAAAUAUAACCACGAGUCCGAUAGUCAACAAGUACAGUGAUGGAAAGUUGAAAAGUACUCUGAAGAGAGAGUCAAAUAGCCCGUGAAGCUGCCAGUAUGGGAUUAAGCGCACGUGUGACGCGUGUCGUCGGACAAAUAGGCGCUCGUCGGCUGCUGCACGGCGCGCGUCGGCAUCGGAAACGGUGUCGGCGCGUGUCGCUGUUGGGCGGUCGGCGGCACGCCUCCCUUUGUUUGGCAUCGACAGGUCGGGGCUUCGUUGUCCGGUCUUAUUGCCGGUCGUGAUCCUUAGAGCCGUGUCGGGCCGGCGCCGUCUUCGGACGUGUGCCGGUGCUCCGUGGAAUGUGCGCUUCGGCGGCCACGGCCGGUUUGGUCUUUGGUGCAAUGCGACCGAUUGGCGAACGACUGGGCGACGGCCAGCGCAAAGCGACUCGCAAGAGUCGGCUCGGCCUUUGCGUCGUCACGUGCGGCCCGUCUUGAAACACGGACCAAGGAGUCUAACAUGUGAGCGAGCGAUUGAGAUUGUCAAAUCUCAAACGCGCAAUGAAAGUGAAGUGUCGUCUGACGGCACGAGCGGAGAUCCGUCGUCACUCGUGGCGGCGGCGCACCCGCGGGCCACGCCAUCGGCUGGCUUGCUUCUCUGAAGCACUGCUGAGGCGUGGACCUAGAGCCCACACGUUGGGACCCGAAAGAUGGUGAACUAUGCCUGGCCAGGAUGAAGCCAGAGGAAACUCUGGUGGAGGUCCGCCGCGAUUCUGACGUGCAAAUCGAUCGUCUGAGCUGGGUAUAGGGGCGAAAGACCAAUCGAACCAUCUAGUAGCUGGUUCCGCCCGAAGUUUCCCUCAGGAUAGCUGGCGCUCGUGUGAUACGGAGUUUCAUCCGGUAAAGCGAAUGAUCAGAGGAGCUGGGCUCCUUGCGAGCUCAACCUAUUCUCAAACUUUCAAUGGGUGAGACGUCUCGCUGGCUUCACUGCAGCGACGACUCUGAAUCCGAGUGCCCAGUGGGCCACUUUUGGUAAGCAGAACUGGCGAUGCGGGAUGAACCGCAUGUCGAGUUAAGGUGCCUAAGCGAACGCAAAUCAGAUACCAUGAAAGGUGUUGAUUGCUCACGACAGCAGGACGGUGGCCAUGGAAGUCGGCAUCCGCUAAGGAGUGUGUAACAACUCACCUGCCGAAGCAAUCAGCCCUGAAAAUGGAUGGCGCUAAAGCGUUCCACCGAUACUCGACCGUCGUCGGCAGGCGACGUGCAUGCCACGUCUCAAGCCACGACGAGUAGGGCGGCGCGGUGGUGAGCGUCGAAGGCGUAGCCGUGAGGCUAGCUGGAGCCGCCAUCGGUGCAGAUCUUGGUGGUAGUAGCAAAUACACAAGCAAGAUCCUUGUGGACCGAUGUGGAGAAGGGUUCCGCGCGAACAGUACUUGGACGUGGGUGAGUCGGCCCUAAGCCAACGGGUAAUUCCCGCAUCCCGUGUUGAACGUUUCUGAAUCGAAUAACAUGGGUUGAU